UCCGAAUUGGUGUAGUGGCUAACAUUUGACGCUCUCAUCCGCCCUCUUGCCAGCUUCAUCUGAGGUUGAGGAGGGUAUUGGUGCCGUCAAGCCCGGGGUUCGAUUCCCCGAUUCGGAG